rnacentral:rRNA from 3 species
AAAUCUGGCCCCCUCCACGGGGGUCCGAGUUGUAAUUUGCAGAGGAUGCUUCUGGCGCGGCGCCUUCCGAGUUCCCUGGAACGGGACGCCACAGAGGGUGAGAGCCCCGUCCGGUCGGACGCCUAGCCUGUGUGAAGCACCUUCGACGAGUCGGGUAGUUUGGGAAUGCUGCCCUAAAUGGGAGGUAUAUGUCUUCUAAAGCUAAAUACCGGCCAGAGACCGAUAGCGCACAAGUAGAGUGAUCGAAAGAUGAAAAGCACUUUGAAAAGAGGGUUAAACAGUACGUGAAAUUGUUGAAAGGGAAGCGCUCAUGACCAGACUUGGGCCCGGGGGAUCACCCGGCGUUCUUUUCGCCGGGGCACUUCGCCGGCUGCCCAGGCCAGCAUCAGUUCGCGGCGGGGGACAAAGGCUUCGGGAACGUGGCUCCCUACGGGGAGUGUUAUAGCCCGCUGCGCAAUGCCCUGCCGCGGACUGAGGUUCGCGCUUCCGCAAGGAUGCUGGCGUAAUGGUCAUCAGCGACCCGUCUUGAAACACGGACCAAGGAGUCGUCUUCGUAUGCGAGUGUUCGGGUGUCAAACCCCUACGCGCAAUGAAAGUGAACGCAGGUGAGAGCUUCGGCGCAUCACCGACCGAUCCUGAUGUUCUCGGAUGGAUUUGAGUAAGAGCAUACGGGGCCGGACCCGAAAGAAGGUGAACUAUGCCUGUAUAGGGUGAAGCCAGAGGAAACUCUG